rnacentral:rRNA from 1 species
UACGUAGGUGGCAAGCGUUAUCCGGAAUUAUUGGGCGUAAAGCGCGCGUAGGCGGUUUUUUAAGUCUGAUGUGAAAGCCCACGGCUCAACCGUGGAGGGUCAUUGGAAACUGGAAAACUUGAGUGCAGAAGAGGAAAGUGGAAUUCCAUGUGUAGCGGUGAAAUGCGCAGAGAUAUGGAGGAACACCAGUGGCGAAGGCGACUUUCUNGGUCUGUAACUGACGCUGAUGUGCGAAAGCGUGGGGAUCAAACAGGAUUAGAUA